rnacentral:snRNA from 1 species
AUUUCUGAGGUUUGGUGCUAAAUAUGCACCUGUUAUUGGUAUUUUCACAUCUGUCAUGGGAAUGGAGGCUGUUGAGCUACACAGAAGAGGUGUGUAUAGAAAAAUGGAUUUUUGGAGCUAAGAGUUGGAAUAGGAGCUUGCUCCGUCCACUCCAUGCAUUGACUGGUGUUACAGCACUUCCAGGAACGGUGCAACCCCU